AAAUGGUUACGUUCUGCCAUACCACAGGGCAGAAGGCGAGACUGAGAAGCCAAGGAGAAUGCAGACCUCUACCUGGCCCCAAAGUGGACCGGAUCGAUCAGUCACUGGACAAUCCUCAAGUCCCCAAGUCACCAGUGGUCAGCUGAGUGGGAAUCCAAGCACCUAUUCUCAUCAAUAUGGGCCGGUCAGACCAUCUGUGGCGUAUACACUAGGUAGGGAAGUCGGACCAGCGGUCCCAUAUACUCAAGGUGGUGAAUGUCUACCACAAUGCAGCCAAGUAACCAGUGUAGGUUACUGGAGUGGACAGACCCAGAAUAAACAGGCACCCACAAAAGAGCAGGCCCUAAUGGCCACUAGUCCCCUUUUGACAUCACUCUUGACUAACAAUGCGGCUGCACAAUCAACUGGUGUUACAUCACAAAGUGGAUACCAUCACACCCUGCCCGGAAGGGUUAACGAUGCAUUUCAACCCACUUUUCAGCAGGGACAUGGGUCUUUGGGUGGUAAUAGUAACAAUUCACAGAGGUUGGUACAGGAUGGUGAGAGUGCAACCAUUCACUGCCCCUCUGAUAUUAAUGCAUCACUGAAUACAAAUUGUAUUUAUCUCCAAAGCCCAGCAAGUGGCAGUCAGCAGCUGGUACUUGGCAGACAAGAGGGGGCCUCCAGUGGUACCUCUGCUGCUCUUGGCAUGGGUAGGAGUCCCAAUCAUGUCAAUCAUCAAUGGACUGUAGCAAGUGGAAAGGAUUCAAGUAGGAUGGCAGUUCAAGCGCCUCAUCAGGGGUAUCCACAAUCACCAAACUCUUUGCAAAGUGCACAGGAGACAAGUAGCGUGCCAUCAAAGACAUCUCCACUGUCUCCCACAGCAUAUAAACAAUUGUUGUAUUUGGUUCUAAAUCAAAACAAUAACAACAGGACUGAGAUGAACAGGGUUCAACAUGGCACACCUGUCCAAACUGACCCAUCAAACCACAGUCAAAUGUAUCCCUUCCAACCUCUCACGGACAGCAACAACCAGGUCAAUCUAUCAAAUGCUACAGUGGGGCAGUCAAUGCCAAUACAUAACAUUAGCCAGAAUCCUCAAUACAAUGUAAUGCAUAACCCUUUUCUUAAUAAUUUUCAAAGAUAUCGCCCUGCAGACCUUACCAACCCACCACAACAGAACAGACUUGCGUCAAAUUGUGCAAAUAUGAACAGUCAGACAGGGGCCAUUGAAAAUAAUGCACACCAUGCCCCAUAUCCUAGGCCCCAUUUCGAAGGCGUAUCUAACCUACAUUACAAGGCAGACGGCACAUAUUUUCUGGUAUCCAACACUGGACCAUCGUCAUCUGUGUCAAACAAUAGUAUACAGUCUUCAGUCAAGCACACCCGUGAGUCCGCUCCUCCACCAUACCCAGGCCAGCACUCCCAUGGACCCGUGCUGAACAAGACGGGACAUGUGGUUGGGUCAGGAGCACAUUCUCUGCAAUACAUACCAAACCAAGGCUCAGCCCAUACCCUACGUAACAAGCCAAAACAUUUUCUGAUAUCCAACACUGGACCAUCUUCAUCUGUGCUAAACCAUGGUAUGCCGUUUUCAGGCCAGCAAAACUGUGAGUCUGUGCCUCCGUCAUACCCCAUAAGACAGGGCUAUUACGUAACGGUAACAGAGGACAAAAGUGGAAAAGGAUUUAGAGCAGAAAAUGUUAUUUUGAUAGGAGAUAAACCUAAUGAAAGUGCUCUGGUACGGCAAGGAUCAUCUGCAAGUAAUGCCCCCUCUGUUCCUACGGUGCAGAAGGCCAUCGCCGUUGUACAACCACUGUCGCAGUCUAUGCAGACAAACGCAUCACUCAACGUGGCUGAUAGAAUGCCCUUGACUACCCAAGGUAUGUCAUUCUCAACUGGUGGUGAAAAUGUGAGCAACCCUGGGGAAGAAUCUUGUGACCAAAGUCCAUCACAAACCCAAACAACCCUUACUGUAUCUGCUUCUUUGACAAAUGAAUCUGGACAAAAGCUCCCCAAGGUCAGACCAGAAGCUACAUUAGAAGCAGGUGCUGAAAAAACACUGACUCAGGAUUCAGAAACUUCCGAUGUUGAACUGGCCAAGACAUAUUCAUAUUUUGAGUCUGAAUGGUCACUAUCAAACUGCUUACAUGUAGAGAAAGUGGAUUCUCAACCAUUAUCUAAUUUGAAAUGUCAAGCCACUCAGAGGAAAGAGUUAGCGGGCACAGAAAUGACCACUCAUGUGCAUGUUAACCAAUUGAGUGAGGAAACAAAUGAAGAAGUAGUUUCAGAUGAGGACAUUUUUGAAUUGUCCUCAGUUCCUGUAGUCAAAUGGAGACUUGGUAAAUUGAAGGAGUUGGUAGACACUGUGCAACAUCCAAAAUGCUCUGAGACACUGGUUGAAAGCAAGCUACUAAGCCUCUAUUGGGAUGGAGAUGGGCAGAAGCUUAUGGAUGCUGCAAGAUCUGGUAUUUUACAGAAUAUAAUGCGAGAGGUUAGAUCUGUGUGUGGCAAAGAUAUGUCAUCACAGUCUGUCAUAUUUUCACAAGUCAGGCGCAAAAACUGGGCUCAAGUUGAAGAGAAAUGUGUCAUUCUUAAACAUGAUUCUGUUUACCCCGAGGUCCCAGGUCAAGAGUCCUCAUGGUUGAACACCAAUAAGCAGCUUGAUGACAUAGACAGGGAGUUUGGAUUCCCAUGGUCACUAAGAUAUGACCAACAGACUCUUCAAAGAGGAGUUGAACAACCAAAACGGAAUUUUACCGGAAAUGAAGAUUCUGCAGACUCUGUCUGUGACAUGCAGACUGAGGUGAUUCAGACAGAGAGACCAGCACCCUCUGAAUCUGAUCCUAAAGAAAUCCAAGGGUCAAGUUUGGCACACAGCUCUACACAGACCCUCUCACCAGUUAAAGAAAGUGAAAGCAUCAUUUUUUGUGACCCAUUUUCCUCCCUGGAGAUCAACGUGCUGCCACCAGAAGAGGCUAUGCGGUUUUUCAAUGGCCAGCUACUGCAAGACAAAGUGGGAGAAGACCAGUUGAAAUUGCCAGUGGAUGUGGAGCUGAAUGAGUUGAAAGAUUACUCCGUGGAGGAUAAAUCAUCUGAGGGAGUAGAUGUAAAGUUGACAACUGUAAAAUACGAAGUGGAUGUCCAAUCGGAAGAUUACUGUUGUCUCUCACGUUGGAAGGCAGUGUUCAGUGGGUCCACCAAUUCUUUGUCCUGCAAAUGCCAGUACAAUACUGAAUUGGGUUUGACAAAGGCCACUGUGAAUGCAAAGAUGUUUGUCGAGGGAACUUUGGCUGUUGAACCGAGCACAACAAAUGCAGAACAAAGGGAAAGCCUGCAUUUAUGUAAAUCCAAUGGCACAGCAGAAGGAAAGAGGGAAGGGAAUGGGAAUCCCCAAUCAUGGAAAUCUACAGGCAUUGAAUGCCAAACUAUUGUCUUGUCUGAUAGUGAAUCUGAGACUGAUCGCCCAUACACUAAUGGGGCGAAGAGCUUGCCAUUGUCAAAACCCCACUCACUGUGCCUGCCCAUCAAGUGCCCAAACAUUGUUGAAGUUGAAAUUGAAGAUGUCUUCUCGAGCUAUGAAGACUUUCUCAAGGUAUCCACCCCAAUGUCCAAGCUAGUGUGCGACAAUGUACAGCCAAAGCAGAAACUACCAGGUCCACUCCAGAAACAAAUGGAACGUGUACAAGCACUUAGUGUCACUUUGGAAGAAAGAAACCUUGGGGGUAGUGAAGUCAUUCCUACAGUUCACAUUCCUACUUCUAAUCUGCUACGCCAACCAGCAGAGAAAAUCAGUUUUCUAACAUCACUCUCCUUGGCACAAAGAUGUCACAAGCAUCUAUCUCCUAAAAUAAAUCGUACCUACAAGGUUAAACAUAAAGGGGUUGGACACAAGAGAUGUGUUGAAGGUCCUCAUUCAAAAUUGUCUGUCCCAAGAAAGCGAAGGAAAAUAAGGGAAGGUUUGGGUCCCUUCAUUCAACUUGUUCCUGAGGUCAACUUGACUGACACAGAUGACGAUUUCGAGCCACCCAAUACAAGUACUUCUAACUCUUUGGAAGUAGAGCGGCCUUCAAACGGUCGCAAUCUCCAGAAGCCAGCAGAACCUGGAAUUAGGACUAAGAUUUCAAGGGUCACCACAGUAAGUCUGGCCUUGUUUGGUUCCUCGCCCCAGAGGACAAAUGGGACUGUAGUAACUGGCCAACGCAAGGACCAUAAUUCUUCUCGACCUAGACCUUUUGCAGACAAAGCUCCAGCACCUCCUCUAACCCUCAGUGUGAAUGUCAAGUCCUGGAAGAUAGAGCCCUCCGAGACCAGCCCGCCAGUGGAAAGCCCAGUCAGACAACGGCUCUUCAACGAGUGGGAGAACAGUUUUGUGCCGACAAAGAAGACAAAGUCCAGGGGCAGAGCAUCAAGACUACGAAGCAGAAGAGGGUUUGCUCCGAAGAUUGUUUGUGCUGAAUUUGCCAAAAAGACUGUUACCUCGACCAGGACAGAUGGUAAUGCAUUAUCCUCUGAAAGACGAGCCACACCAGAAAGAACCAUAAGGGCCAAGCGGACUUUGCGGCACAUUGAAAGAGAGAGAAUCUUAAAUGGCCUGAAACUCAGACUGAAGAAAUCUAGGAUCAAGGCGGUGCCAUCCAGCAAACCUGAUACAGUGGAAAAAAGUACAAAUAAGAUCAGGAGCCCUGCUCUUUUGCCUCUUGAGGAGAACAGUGUUCUGAGGUUCAGUGUGCUGCCAGAGUCGUUCAACUUCAAAGAUGGACAAGAACCCAUGGACACUCGGACACAGACUGGUUCAAUGAAGGAAAUGGCUGGUGCUGGUGCUGUUGCUGUUGCUACGACGACUGAGAGUCCUAAAACAAUAGUCCGGAAAUCCCAAGUAGGUUUAUGGUCUGCUUGCCCUCAGAAGAGAUAUUGUCCUCUCACCUCUUCGACCACUAAAGUCCCCAAGUCUUCCUCCACUGCCUUCCAGGAGUUUCAGAGGAAAUUCAAGCGGCUAUCCCAAGACUAG
rnacentral:lncRNA from 8 species